GCCCUUGUAGAUGAAUUGGCCAGUCACCCAUCACAGGUAGUGAUGAUGUAAUACUACUCGAUGUGAGUGGGAAAUGGAGGUUCGAAUCCUCCUGAGGGCA